UCCCUCUUAGCUCAGUUGGUAGAGCGCGUCACUAGUAAUCACAUGACAUCAAGUCAUGUGACCCAAUGACGAGGUCAGUCGUUCAAAUCGGCUAGCGGGAA